AACGAACGCUGGCGGCAGGCUUAACACAUGCAAGUCGAGCGCAUCCUUCGGGGUGAGCGGCGGACGGGUGAGUAACGCGUGGGAACGUGCCCUCUUCUACGGAAUAGCCUCGGGAAACUGAGAGUAAUGCCGUAUACGCCCGCAAGGGGAAAGAUUUAUCGGAGGAGGAUCGGCCCGCGUUGGAUUAGGUAGUUGGUGGGGUAACGGCCUACCAAGCCGACUAUCCAUAGCUGGUUUGAGAGGAUGAUCAGCCACACUGGGACUGAGACACGGCCCAGACUCCUACGGGAGGCAGCAGUGGGGAAUCUUGGACAAUGGGGGCAACCCUGAUCCAGCCAUGCCGCGUGAGCGAUGAAGGCCUUAGGGUUGUAAAGAUCUUUCAGCUGGGAAGAUAAUGACGGUACCAGCAGAAGAAGCCCCGGCUAACUCCGUG
rnacentral:rRNA from 1 species